rnacentral:lncRNA from 1 species
AUGAAUAACAAGAAAAAUGCCUAACAAUCACACAUAGUUUUAACACAUCAAGGCACAAAUUGUAGAGCGUUAUGAAGGAGUCAGACCUUAUAACUGGUAAACAAAAUAUAACCAGGCUUAAAAUUCAGUUCUCACUUUCACCAGCAGCAAGGUUCUUUGAGGCCUGGUAGACAGCUCAAAAAUCCUCUCUUCCAUUUUCACCAGAACCUAUCAGAGUUAGUGAAAAAUUAUCAGUUCCUUUUAAGACGGUCUAAAAUUCAAAGGCCAGGAAUUAGAAAAAUGAAAAACAGGCCAAGUACACAAUCAUGAGCAUUCACCAUAAGCAGCAGAAGGAUCAGAACAUGAUUGACUGCCAGUGAACCCAAGAG